CAUCGCUGUGUAUAGAACUUUAACCUGUGAAAUCCCCCACCCUGUAAUGGCUGGGUAUGGAAAAGCUCAGAGGAGGCUGUGCCAGUUAAUCUAAUUGUCACUUUGACUAAAUUAAGUGACUCCUGGAGACCCUCAGACUCUAAUUAAUCUUAAUUGUCAACUUGACUGAAUUAAGAGACUCCUCAAAUGUGUGAAAAUAAAAGGCAAAUGAUGAUGGAAGCAGCAUUGGAGAGCUCUUCAAAAUGGAGCCAGAAGUCCACUAGAGGAAUUGAACGUUUCUCUCAAGCAUCGACCUAGAAUGAGAACUUUGACUCCUUUCACCCUUUGAUUUCUGGCAUUGGAAUGACCAGAUGAACCUGGGAUACACAUUACGAUAUUUUCAGACUUCUUUUAUACACAUUUCCAUUCUGUUUAUGUAACUUUUUCCUUACUUAGAGUUGGACACUGGCCCC
rnacentral:lncRNA from 1 species